rnacentral:tRNA from 1 species
AUUUAUAUAGUUUAAUUAAAACCUUACAUUUUCACUGUAAAAAUAAAAUAUUUAAUUUUUAUAAAUA